UACGGAGGGGGCUAGCGUUGUUCGGAAUUACUGGGCGUAAAGCGCGCGUAGGCGGCUACACAAGUGGCGGGUGAAAUCCCUCGGCUUAACCGAGGAACUGCCUGCCAGACUGUGUGGCUUGAGACCGGGAGAGGUGAGUGGAAUUCCCAGUGUAGCGGUGAAAUGCGCAGAUAUCGGGAGGAACACCAAUGGCGAAGGCAGCUCGCUGGGACGGUACUGACGCUGAGACGCGAAAGCGUGGGGAGCAAACAGG
rnacentral:rRNA from 1 species